GGCCCUAUAGCUCAGCGGUAGAGCGUUGGCUUCCAGUUCCAAAGGUCAUCCGUUCAAAUCGGGUUGGGGUCA